AGGCCUGCUGAAAAUGACUGAGUAUAAACUUGUGGUAGUUGGAGCUGGUGGCGUAGGCAAGAGUGCCUUGACGAUACAGCUAAUUCAGAAUCACUUUGUGGAUGAAUAUGAUCCUACGAUAGAGGACUCCUACAGGAAACAAGUAGUAAUUGAUGGAGAAACCUGUCUCUUGGAUAUUCUCGACACAGCAGGUCAAGAGGAGUACAGUGCAAUGAGGGACCAGUACAUGAGAACUGGGGAGGGCUUUCUUUGUGUAUUUGCCAUAAAUAAUACUAAAUCAUUUGAAGAUAUUCACCAUUAUAGAGAACAAAUUAAAAGAGUAAAGGACUCUGAAGAUGUGCCUAUGGUUUAUGGAUUUAUGGGCUUCCCUUUGAUUCACUUCCAGCAUGUCCUAGAAUUUAUCAUCCUUCAUAAGUGUAGUUAGACUGUUCAUAAAGGCUUUCUCUAGCUUUCCACUGCUAGUAAUCUUGCUCACUCCCCCAAAUAGUAUAUUUUUUCUAGAAAAGGGGAAAAAAUG
rnacentral:lncRNA from 1 species